UACGUAGGGGGCAAGCGUUGUCCGGAAUCAUUGGGCGUAAAGGGCGCGUAGGCGGUGCGGCAAGUCCCCUGUGAAAGCCCCCGGCUUAACCGGGGAACUGCAUGGGAUACUGUUGGGCUAGAGUGCAGGAGGGGAGUGUGGAAUUCCUGGUGGAGCGGUGAAAUGCGCAGAUAUCAGGAGGAACACCCGUAGCGAAGGCGGCACUCUGGGCCGGAACUGACGCUGAGGAGCGAAAGCGUGGGGAGCGAACAGGG
rnacentral:rRNA from 1 species